CUGAGACUUUAGAAUUCAUUUUGUGAAGGCGUGAUGGAACCAGGUACCAAAGAUAGAGAACUUGUAAAUGAUUCUCAUGAUGACUGCAUGAUACCUCUCAAGGUGAGAAUAAAACUUAUCCAAUCCUCCAGUUCAUAGUGAACUCCCAAAUCUCUUUCCAAUGAUUCCAUAAAACAUAAUUUAGGUGUGGGCCUAGGAGAAAUAUGGAAAUAGUAUUAUGAGAUUAUG